rnacentral:rRNA from 1 species
UACAGAGGGUGCAAGCGUUGUUCGGAAUUAUUGGGCGUAAAGGGUGCGUAGGCGGUGCGGUAAGUCUGUAGUGAAAUCUCUGGGCUCAACUCAGAGUCUGCUAUAGAAACUGCCGUGCUUGAGUGUGGGAGAGGUGAGUGGGAAAUUCCCCGGUGUAGCGGUGAAAUGCGUAGAUAUCGGGGAGGAACACCUGUGGCGAAAAGCGGCUCACUGGACCACAACUG